GAUGAACGCUGGCGGCGUGCCUAAUACAUGCCAGUCGAGCGAACGGACGAGAAGCUUGCUUCUCUGAUGUUAGCGGCGGACGGGUGAGUAACACGUGGAUAACCUACCUAUAAGACUGGGAUAACUUCGGGAAACCGGAGCUAAUACCGGAUGAUAUUUUGAACCGCAUGGUUCAAAAGUGAAAGACGGUCUUGUUGUCACUUAUAGAUGGAUCCGCGCUGCAUUAGCUAGUUGGUAAGGUAACGGCUUACCAAGGCAACGAUGCAUAGCCGACCUGAGAGGGUGAUCGGCCACACUGGAACUGAGACACGGUCCAGACUCCUACGGGAGGCAGCAGUAGGGAAUCUUCCGCAAUGGGCGAAAGCCUGACGGAGCAACGCCGCGUGAGUGAUGAAGGUCUUCGGAUCGUAAAACUCUGUUAUUAGGGAAGAACAUAUGUGUAAGUAACUGUGCACAUCUUGACGGUACCUAAUCAGAAAGCCACGGCUAACUACGUG
rnacentral:rRNA from 1 species